CUUAUUGCUUAUUCUUACACUUGUGUUUUUUUUAUUGAAAAAAUUUCUUUGGUAGUGAAUUUCGCUGCCAAAGGUUAAACUAAACUAAAUUUUAUUACUAGUCAACAAGAAAUCUAAUAGUUAAAACUUUCAACAACGGAUCUCUUGGUUCUCGCAUCGAUGAAGAACGCAGCGAAAUGCGAUAAGUAAUAUGAAUUGCAGAUAUUCGUGAAUCAUCGAAUUUUUGAACGCACAUUGCGCCUUUUGGUAUUCCAAAAGGCAUGCUUGUUUGAGCGUCAUUUCUCCCUCAAACCUUUGGGUUUGGUGAUGAGCAAGACACCGAGUUUGCUUGAAAUAAAUUUAGUUUUAUAAAGAAUAGGUUUUACCAAAUCUUUUAAGUAAACUAUUAAAUUUUACAAAUUCGACCUCAAAUCAAGUAGGAUUACCCGCUGAACUUAAGC
rnacentral:rRNA from 1 species